rnacentral:rRNA from 1 species
UACGGAGGGUGCAAGCAUUGAUCGGAAUUACUGGGCGUAAAGGGCGCGUAGGCGGCUUAGAAAGUCAGAUGUGAAAUUCCUGGGCUCAACCCCGGAGCUGCAUUUGAAACUUCUAAACUAGAGAAUAGUUAGGGUAAACGGAAUUCCACGUGUAGCGGUGAAAUGCGUAGAUAUGUGGAAGAACACCGGUGGUGAAGACGGUUUACUGGGCUGUAACUGACGCUGAGGCGCGAAAGCAAGGGGAGCAAACAGG